CGGAGAUGGCACGUGUCACAUUGCCGGUAGCGGUGGCAGCACUGUUCUGCUUAAAUGUUUUGGUUGUGAGUGUAGUUGGGAGGCAUUUGGUGAUCAGAGAUGACGAUGAAGAGAAAUUCUUAUGGGGUGGUAAGGGCGGAGGUUUUGGCAUUGGCGGUGGGUUCGGUAAAGGCAGUGGCGGCGGUGGAUUUGGUGGUGGCGGCGGCGGCGGAUUUGGUGGUGGUG
rnacentral:misc_RNA from 1 species